rnacentral:rRNA from 1 species
GGGAUCGUCGUCAUUAUGCGCCUAACCCGCCGGCUAUGUAUAACCCUUUGUUGUCCGACUCUGUUGCCUCCGGGGCGACCCUGCCUUCGGGCGGGGGCCCCGGGUGGACACUUCAAACUCUUGCGUAACUUUGCAGUCUGAGUAAAUUUAAUUAAUAAAUUAAAACUUUCAACAACGGAUCUCUUGGUUCUGGCAUCGAUGAAGAACGCAGCGAAAUGCGAUAAGUAAUGUGAAUUGCAGAAUUCAGUGAAUCAUCGAAUCUUUGAACGCACAUUGCGCCCCCUGGUAUUCCGGGGGGCAUGCCUGUUCGAGCGUCAUUUCACCACUCAAGCCUCGCUUGGUAUUGGGCGACGCGGUCCGCCGCGCGCCUCAAAUCGACCGGCUGGGUCUUCUGUCCCCUCAGCGUUGUGGAAACUAUUCGCUAAAGGGUGCCCGGGAGGCUACGCCGUAAAACAACCCCAUUUCUAAGGUUGACCUCGGAUCAGGUAGGGAUACCCGCUGAACUUAAGCAUAUCAAUAAGUCGGAGGAA